AUCUAAAAAGAAGGAAUGAAAAAUAGUGGAAAUCCCCUGGGCAAAUAUCAUUGAAUAGAAGAUGGAAUUGCAAAUUCUCAACGUCCUAACGCAAAAUUCUGAACAAUAUACAUCUGCUGGAACGCUGAUCUAAAAUAAAUUAUUUCUGCUUCAUGAUCUAAAACCUCAAUUUCCCACUAUUUUUCAUUCCUUCUUUUUAGAU
rnacentral:misc_RNA from 1 species